UCUUUAUGAAGUAGUAAAAUGUGUUAGAAACACGUGCAGAUUGAUAUACAAGUAUCAAACCGAACUAUUUACUUUUUAUACGUUUGCUUCAUAGUGUCAUUUUACAUCUAAAACCUAACAUAUUAUUGCACAGGAUAUACACUGUUCGACAUACAACAAAGACAUCUAACGUACGGUUUCAUAAAUGGCUGUAGUCGCAAGUUUAAAGAAUUUUGGAAUUGGAGCUUUCAACGCGCGGCGUCUUAUUUUUAAAGCGGUGUUAUCAAAUAAUAGACAGCUUGUCACGAUGUCAGAAUCACUGAAUAAAAUACCUGAUGUGGAUAUCGAUGGUCACGGAAGAUUUAAAUACAUCUUGGUCAACAUUUAUGACGAACGUGCAGGUGUCAGCAAAUCCAUCGUCAGAGGUUAUGCUAGAGCUGAAUGGCAUUCCGACAUUUUUAUGAAGGUUGUCGAUGUAGUGGAUUCGAUUCCUGAUUUGCGCUCCAAGUGCGUCGGAGGUGGAAGAAUCGAGCACGACCCGGACGAGAAGACCAUCAAAGUCUACGGAUACUCGCAAGGAAAGCUUGGAGCGCCGAUGAUCAUUCACCGGGUUCCUGAUUUUAAACAGCCCUCAUUGUAGACUAAUUAUUCCACUUUGAAGACUGGGAUGGAGUAGGCGCGCGAUGAGAUCAGCGAAAUUCGCAUAAAACCUUAUCACAUGGCAACCAUGAUAAUCGAUGGGUUGGACGAGGUUUAUUGGGAGGGGCUGUGGACUUUGGAAAAAUGGCUUUCCCGAAUCUGGUCGGAGAGACCUCGAGGGGAAGCAAUUUUAACGCUGCCUGGGGGGCUUUGGCAAGGCGGAUCACGAAGUGACUGUUAGUAUACUGAAGAAGAAGUACCCCGACUACUCGAUCACUUGGUCCGACGAUGGAUAUUAGACCGAAGAAGGAUUUGUUCUGCGCGUCGCACAACGGGAAACGUAUUCAAACGCGUUAAAUGUAUAAUUUAAUAAAGAGUUUCUAUGGCUUCUA